UCUCCCUCUCUCUCUGCCCCUCCCUUUUCAUGCUUUCUCUCUCUCUCUCUCUCAAAAUAAAUAAACUUUAAAAAAAAAAAAGUCUUUAGUAAAGAAUUUCAAAGCAAAUCCCAAACAUCAUGUCGGUUUAUGAUGGACCAAAGCUGACCUAAACUAUGAAUACUAACGGAGAGAGAUCCUUUACCAGGAGGGGAAAUAAAUGGCAAAUGGAUGUAAUUUGACCAUCUACUCCUUCUGGAAGCGGUUCCAAUCUUUCUGGAAGUCGUAAUGAAAGGUUUUCAUUUAUGCAUCUUGACAAAUGAUGAGUCUUCCAUUAAUUGAAACACAGGCAAAAUUCAUACAGAAAGCAGGCAGCUCAGGGAACAUCUGGAACAUCAGAACACAUGUGACAGCAUUCAUACCAUUCUGCUGGGGCCCCUGGAAUGCCACUGCCAGCAGAGGGGACCAUUACUGCAUUCCGCUCCUCGGUCAAGGUCAGUCUCAUCUCUAGAAGUUGAGCUUCACGGUCGGCAUCAUCCUCUGUUUUAUCUAGAACGUCAGGAAUUAGGAUGAAAUACAGAUUUCUCACACAGAUUUCUCACUUGACAUUUACACUUCUGUCCAGCGUAUCCACAGGAUUUGCCUGCAUUUCAGUCACUGGUUGAUGAGGGUUCACCAAAAACUUAUUACUUCCCUAAUUAGUGAUUAAAAAAACAAUCAUGAUAAAAAGUGAACUGUAAACGCAUGGCUGUACUCUUACAGAAAGGCCAUCUUUGGAAAGCCAACAUGGACCACCAGCACAUGAAUAAUUUCUUCCAGAGUUGAAGGAUUCAAGUACUUUUGGAUAAGAAAUCAAAAAUGUUAGCACCCUCCUUAAUUUAUUUUUGAAGGACAAUGUUUACAUACUAUAUUUUCUCUCUUUGUUGCGGGUAAGGGGAAACCUAUAGAAAGAUAUUAUUACAGUUAAAUAAAUGUUAUUCUGAAAGGACAGGACAUAAAUAAGAAACAUUCCUAUGCUCUUGCCAUCCCCAUUAUUGAUGUGUUCAUCUACUUCUAAUUUAUGUGGCUGCAAAUAGAGAUUAAUUAUGCACAGACUGGGGGGGUAAAUAUUCAAUUUGCUUUUCCUACCAUGUUUACUGACAAGCUUUUGCAGUUGUUGAUCUAAGUACUCCUGACGUUUUGUUAAUGCAUUUAGCCAUUUUCUACGCAGUCUCUCUAAAUCCCGAUCCUGGAAGAAAACGAGGGAAAUUAUGGCAAAUAUAACGGCAAGACAAAAUACUUGAAACCAAUGCUCCAUCUACCUUACUCUAAGUCUUCAAAACUGUAAAGUAUCACACAUCAAUAUCUUUGUCCCCACUACUAGUUGACACUAAUCAUUAUUUGGAACAGAAAGUUCCAGAAAUCAAAGAAUUGUUGUUCUAGAACAAGACAGCUUCUGAAAAGACAUUCUCUGAUACCUAGAACCAGUUUUAUUUCUAUUGGUUCAAGGGGCAAGCCUUACAACUAAGAUCUACAAUGUCCCUUUGCUGGAUAAAAAUCACAAAUACUGGGGCGCCUGGCUGGCUCAUGUGACUCUUGAUCUCGGGGCUGUAAGUUCAAGCCCCAAACUGAAUAUAGAUCCUACUAAAAAAAGUAAGUAAAUUAAAAAAAAAAUCACAAAUAUUACUCAACAAUCUUAAAAUUUAUAUCCCUGGGAACCAUCAUAAGAAUUCCUCAAAUCUCUUAACUUGUUUCAGCCUUCAACUUGUUUCACUAGUCUCUACAAACAACAUAUAAUGUUUCUCUCCCUUGUUUCUUGUGUGUAGGUGGCAGUUUGGAGGGGGAGAGGGCGUUAUCAACAGACUAAGAACUCUACCAUUCAACACCUGACUGUAUAACAAUCUUGCCUCAUUUCCUUUUGUAAUAAAGUUAACAAGACUGGGUAGAUCAGUGGAAUGCUGAAGAUACAGUGUGUAUCUGGAUUUCACUAAGGCACUUAACCAAAUAGCUCAUGACAUUCUUGUGGACAAGAUGGAGAAAUGUGCAAUGAAUCUACUUGAAUGAAAUCAUAAAUGACUGAAAUAUCACAUCCAAAGAACAGUGAUUAAUGGAAUAAUGUCAGCUUAAAAGAAGUCUCUAUUGUUGUGCCAUAGGACUCUGUAUUUAACCCUAUCUGAUACAAUAUUUUUAUCAGUCACUUAUAGGAAGGCAGACAUUUUUAUCAAAUUAGAAUGAUGCAAAACCAGGAGAGUGACUACACUGGAUGACAUAAUCAGGAUCCAAAGAGCUCUGACAGUCCUAAACAAUGACUAGCAAGACUAACAUGAUAGAACUGGACAGACAUAAACAAAAUCUUGCAGGAGAUUAGGAAGGGUGGAGGGGGCAAAACCAAACCUGUGUGACUCUUGUAAGUGGGGAAGGCAGACCUGGUUUAAAAGAUGGAAAAUACCUAAGCAGUGUGGCUUGACUGAAGCUCAGUAUGAGAUAGUUCUUACAGGGAAAAGGAGGGGUGACUCCACUCAAGGAGAGAGGGAGUGCAAGGAAAAGGAUCUGGAGAAAUGGAUCUGUAGGAAACUUGGAUGGGGAGCUCUAAGUUUGGAAAAUGAUGAAAGUCACAAAUGAUUUCUUAUACAUAAGACUACAAAACUCUGUUUUAAUUUGAGAAAAGCAAUAUUUGAAUCAAAAUUAAUUGUGUAAUUAUUAAAUAACAGUAUAG